rnacentral:rRNA from 1 species
AGUGAACGCUGGCGGUAGGCCUAACACAUGCAAGUCGAACGGCAGCACAGUAAGAGCUUGCUCUUACGGGUGGCGAGUGGCGGACGGGUGAGGAAUACAUCGGAAUCUACUUUUUCGUGGGGGAUAACGUAGGGAAACUUACGCUAAUACCGCAUACGACCUACGGGUGAAAGCAGGGGAUCUUCGGACCUUGCGCGAUUGAAUGAGCCGAUGUCGGAUUAGCUAGUUGGCGGGGUAAAGGCCCACCAAGGCGACGAUCCGUAGCUGGUCUGAGAGGAUGGUCAGCCACACUGGAACUGGGACACGGGCCAGACUCCUACGGGAGGGAGCAGUGGGGAAUAUUGGACAAUGGGCGGAAGCCUGAUCCAGCCAUACCGCGUGGGUGAAGAAGGCCUUCCGGUUGUAAAGCCCUUUUGUUGGGAAAGAAAAGCAGCAGGUUAAUACCCCGCUGUUCUGACGGUACCCAAAGAAGAAGCACCGGCUAACUUCGUG